CUGCUCACUUCAGCAGCACAUAUACUAAAAUUAGAACAAUACAGAGAAGAUUAGCACAGCCUCUAUACAAGGUUUACACCCAAAUUCAUGAAGCAUUCCAUAUUUUU
ensembl:snRNA LOC120099402 U6 spliceosomal RNA